rnacentral:rRNA from 1 species
UCAAAGAUUAAGCCAUGCAUGUCUAAGUAUAAGCAAUUAUACCGCGAAACUGCGAAUGGCUCAUUAUAUAAGUUAUCGUUUAUUUGAUAAUACUUUACUACUUGGAUAACCGUGGUAAUUCUAGAGCUAAUACAUGCUAAAAAUCCCGACUUCGGAAGGGUUGUAUUUAUUAGAUUAAAAACCAAUGCCCUUCGGGGCUCUUUGGUGAUUCAUAAUAACUUUUCGAAUCGCAUGGCCUUGCGCCGGCGAUGGUUCAUUCAAAUUUCUGCCCUAUCAACUUUCGAUGGCAGGGUCUUGGCCUGCCAUGGUUACAACGGGUAACGGAGGGUUAGGGCUCGACCCCGGAGAAGGAGCCUGAGAAACGGCUACUACAUCCAAGGAAGGCAGCAGGCGCGCAAAUUACCCAAUCCCGAUACGGGGAGGUAGUGACAAUAAAUACUGAUACGGGGGCUCUUUUGGGUCUCGUAAUUGGAAUGAGAACAAUUUAAAUCCCUUAACGAGGAACAAUUGGAGGGCAAGU